AACCUGGCAGACAAGGAGCCCAUGCUACCUGUGUAGACAAGGCAGAAUCUGCUGCCUCCUUGGCAGGGAACGGGGUGAUAAAAUGCCUGGGCUGCUUGGAAAGAGCCACCUUGCUAAUGUAGGAGGCGGUCAAGAGGUGGAACAGCACACGUUAAUGCAUCAUUGCAAGGGGCUUCGGCCGAUAAAUCCAGCUGCGAGCACCAUGCAGAACAGGUCAUGCUCCACUGCCCGGUGCGCUCCGGGGCUGCCACGUGCCUUCACAGGCUCCUUCUGCCUUGCCAAGCUCAGCUGGCAGAAGGGAUGAGCACAUGCAUAGAGGAGAGAUGCCGCUUCAUGCGGGGCAAUGAAAGGCAGAUGUCAGACCACACAUGGCAGAGGCAGCACACACAGCUCGGCGAGGGGCUCGCAGCGAAGCUUUUACCCAGCGAACAGCUAAAUGCCCCCACUCUAGCUCACCAGACAGAUCAAUCUCGCCAGCGCUCCUCCCUUGGAUUAAUUCAAUCCACUUGGCUGUGGAGACCAGAGGUCCUGGAGAGCCGGCCAAACUUCAGCUCAGCCACAGCAAGGCUCUGCACCAUGUGAGCCUCCCUUGGCCACAUCCUCCCAGCCAGGUCCGCUUUCCACCUGGGCGCCAGUGAGCCCUGAAAUCACGCCCUGGUCCCGACAUGCAGCAUCACACUGAGUGAUCCGUAAG